rnacentral:rRNA from 1 species
AUGGCUGCUGAAGGGUGGCUCAUCGUCGUGUGCAGCGGCGGCAGCCUCGCCCUCGACAUCACGGCGUUUGUCUUGGCCGUCCUCGCGCAGGACUGCGUCCCAGGCGUGAUCCAGUUCACUCUCGAGGACCCACACCAGAGGUUAUGCAUGCUGCUGCUGCUGGUGGGCGUCCCAGUUGGUGCGUUCCUGCUGCUGGCCGAGUCGUGCUGGCUGAAGUAUGAGCAGCAGCAGCCGCCGCCCCCGCCGGCCGACGUCAGGCUCCUGGUCGUCCUGACCGCGUUCCAGUGGCUGCUCGCGUUGGCCGCCGUCGGAGCGGCGUCCUCCGCGCUAAUCGCGGACCUCGUCGCCGCGCCCGUGUGCGCGUCGUACCAGCUCGCCGCCGACGGGACGGCAUGCGCCGGCGGGGCUCUCGCUGCGGCGUCGGCGGUCGGGCUGCUCUCCGUCGUCUGCUCCCGGUUGCGCCAAGCUCCGGCGCCUCUGCAGCCUCAGGCCUAG